AAGACUUCAUGAAGAAAUGCUGUUGUGAAGACUUCCUGAAGACAGAGUUUCAGAAAGAGCAGGAGUUUCUCAAAAAGAGAGAGGCCCAGUUUCAAGAUAUUAAAUUA